AAAAUAGGCGACUUUGGAUUGGCCCGUGAUGUGUACAAGAAUGACUACUACAGGAAAAAGGGUGAAGGUUUAUUUCCUGUUCGCUGGAUGUCACCAGAGAGUUUAACAGAUGGAAUUUUCAACAAAUACUCAGAUGUCUGGGCGUUUGGUGUACUCCUGUGGGAAAUUAUGACAUUAGGAAAGCUUCCAUAUCCAACAUACACCAACCAUGAAGUCUUAAGCUACAUUAAUGCCGGUGGACGACUGCCUUUACCAACAGGGUGUCCUAAGAGUUUGUACAAUCUGAUGAUGGACUGUUGGAAAAAGGGGCCAAAUGAAAGGCCAAGCUUCCAGGACCUACAGGAAACCCUGCAUAAAUUGCGAGAUUACGAAGCAGAUCAAAUAGGCGAAAAAAUGAUUGCAUGUCAUGUAAACAAAGCAUACUAAGAAGAUGAGGAGGAGGUCUGCACAAGGGUGGAUGAAGAUGUAGAAACAGGACUUUUUCCUGUGCUCAACACCGAUGGACUGAAUUACUUGAUGUAUCGAGCUGAGAGUCCAGACAGUGUCAAAACAGACAAUUCAGAGGACAGAUAAGACUAGGAAACCACAUUUUUACAAGACUUUUUUGACUUUUGAUGUCAAAUAAAUAUCUGGUGUCCCCAGAAUACAUAUGUGAAGUUUUAGCUCAAAAUACCAUCUAGAUCAUUUAUUAUAACAUGUUAAAAUUGACACUUUGUAGGUGAAAAUGUGCCGUUUUGGGUGUGUCCUUUAAAAUGCAAAUGAGCUGAUCUCGGCACUAAAUGGCAGUGCUGUGGUUGGAUAGUGCAGAUGAAGGGGCGGUAUUAUCCUCUUCUGACAUCACAUGGGGAGCCAAAUUUCAAUUAGCUAUUUUUUCACAUGUUUGCAGAGAAUGGUUUAUCAAACUAAGUUCCUGGGUUGAUCUUUUUCAUAUUUUCUAGGUUUAUAGAAGCACUGGGUACCCAAUUAUAGCACUUAAACAUGGAAAAAGUCAGAUUUUCAUGAUAUGUCCCCUUUAAAAGUAACAUUACGUAUACAUAUCUACUCCAGGAAAUGUUUUGGACUCAGAAUAUAAGUAUUUUACAGUAUUGCAAAUGUUACAGUGUUGUAAAAGUGAUUUGUGAGGGUCAGAAUUAUUGUAGCCUACAUUUUUGAAAUACUCCUAAAUUUUAAGUCUACUCUCAUUUUGAAAAAAAAAGCUAAUUAUCAAAUAUAUAAUCUGCAGAGAAAUAUUACUUAGUUCCCUUGUUGCCAUAAAAUGUAAAAUCGCAACUGUCAUUAUCCUCUUGACCGAACAGUAUGAUUCAAAUAGGUUGAACAAAUUGUGCUCGACUUAAGAGGUCUGAAAAAAAUGAAUUGCUGGGACUCAGGUGGCUAUAUUGAUAUUUAUUAAUCAUCACCAUUUGACAGUAGCAGAAUAAAAGUACAGUUUUGUUCAUUAGAAAUCUUUACAUAUACUCUAAAAGUACUAGUUACAAAAAAUAUUUACUCAAGAAAAUAUAUCAUUUAAAUUUAAUUUAAUACUACCCACCUCUGAUGUCAAGAUGCACAGCUGAUUACCAUACAUGUAUAUUAGGCCUACAUAAAUCUGAAUUAUUCUUAUGGCUCAAAUGUUUCAAUAUUUAUUUGUUUGUUUAUCCAAAAUUACUUGUUUAUAUAUGAGUAAAUCUUCCAAGUUAUUUACAGUAAUCUACGUUAUUUAUAUAAACUGUUUAUGACGUAUUUGUUGAAAGUCUAAGAGAUGGUUUCCCGGAAAGGGAUUAGCUUAAGCCAUGACUAGGCCUUAGUUUAAUUAGGAAAUAUAACUAGUUUUAACAAACAUUAGUUAAUGUAUUACCUAACAUGAACCCAUCAGCAAUACAUUUGUUACAGUAUUUAUUCAUUUUUGUUAAUGUGGUUAAUAGAAAUAAAGCUUUAAAUUGUUUGUUCAUGUUAGUUCACAGUGCAUUAACUAACGUUAAUUUUAAUAAAGUAUUAGUAAUUGUUGAAUUUAACAUAAUGAAUGCUUUAUAAGUGCAGUUCAUUAUUAGUUUAUGUUAACUAAUGUAGUUAAGUAAUGAACCUUAUUUUAAGUGUUACCAACAUGCUUAACUUAAAACAUUACUUGUGUGCAUUUUGGGGCAAAACAAAGGACCUCAGUUUGGACAGCUCUUACAUUUAUUUUAGACUAGAACUAGUCUAAUCCCUGUCCGGGAAACCGCACCAAAGUGUUUAAACAUAAUGGAUAAAAU